rnacentral:rRNA from 1 species
GAUGAACGCUAGCGGCAGGCUUAACACAUGCAAGACGAGGGGCAGCACGUCUUCGGAUGGUGGCGACCGGCGCACGGGUGCGUAACGCGUAUACAACCUACCUUAUAGAGGGGAAUAGCCCAGAGAAAUUUGGAUUAAUGCCCCAUAGUAUUAUCGAAUAGCAUUAUUUGAUGAUUAAACAUUUAUGGCUAUAAGAUGGGUAUGCGUUCUAUUAGCUAGAUGGUAAGGUAACGGCUUACCAUGGCGACGAUAGAUAGGGGUCCUGAGAGGGAGAUCCCCCACACUGGUACUGAGACACGGACCAGACUCCUACGGGAGGCAGCAGUGAGGAAUAUUGGACAAUGGGCGAGAGCCUGAUCCAGCCAUGCCGCGUGCAGGAAGACGGCCCUAUGGGUUGUAAACUGCUUUUCAUACGGGAAGAAACACUCCUUCGUGAAGGAGCUUGACGGUACCGUAAGAAUAAGGAUCGGCUAACUCCGUGCCAGCAGCCG